rnacentral:rRNA from 1 species
CGUAGGGUGCGAGCGUUGUCCGGAAUUAUUGGGGCGUAAAAGGGCGUCGUAGGCGGUUUGUUCGCGUCGGGAGUGAAACAACGGGCGUUAACUCCGUGCUUGCUUUCGUAUACGGGCGAGACUAGAGGUAUGCAGGGGAGAACGGAAUUCCUGGUGUAGCGGUGAAAUAGCGCAGAUAUCAGGAGGAACACCGGUGGCGAAGGCGGUUCUCUGGGCAUGACCUGACGCUGAGGAGCGAAAGUGUGGGGAGCGACAGGAUU